rnacentral:rRNA from 1 species
UACGGAGGGUGCGAGCGUUGUCCGGAAUCAUUGGGCGUAAAGGGCGCGUAGGUGGCCCCUCAAGCGUGCGGUGAAAGUCAGGGGCUCAACCCCUGAUCGGCCGUGCGAACUGGGGAGCUUGAGCACUGUAGAGGCAGGCGGAAUUCCGGGUGUAGCGGUGGAAUGCGUAGAGAUGUGGAGGAACACCGACGGCGAAGGCAGCCCCCUUGGUCAAGACUGACGCUCAUGCACGAAAGCGUGGGGAGCAAACAGG